rnacentral:rRNA from 1 species
UACAGAGGUCUCAAGCGUUGUUCGGAUUCAGUUGGGCGUAAAGGGUGCGUAGGCGGGUCUUUUAAGUCAGGGGUGAAAGUCCUAGGAGCUCAACUCCAGAACUGCCUUUGAUACUGAAGAUCUUGAGUUCGGGAGAGGUGAGUGGAACUGCGAGUGUAGAGGUGAAAUUCGUAGAUAUUCGUCAAGAACACCAGUGGCGAAGGC